rnacentral:rRNA from 1 species
ACGGCUCAGUAACACGUGGACAAUUUACCCUUGGGACCAGGAUAACCCCUGGGAAACUGGGGCUAAUACUGGAUGGAGCAUCGGCUGCUGGAAUGCGCGAUGCUCGAAAGCUGAGGCGCCCAAGGAUAGGUCUGCGGCUGAUUAGGUUGUUGUUGAUGUAACGGAUCAACAAGCCCGCGAUCGGUACGGGUUGUGAGAGCAAUAGCCCGGAGAUGGGUUCUGAGAAAAGAACCCAGGUCCUACGGGACGCAUCAGGCGCGAAAACUUUACAAUGUGCGAAAGCGCGAUAAGGGAACUCUGAGUGCCUCCUAAGGAGGCUGUUCAGGUGUCUAAAAAGCAUCUGGAGUAAGGGCUGGGCAAGACCGGUGCCAGCCGCCGCGGUAACACCGGCAGCUCAAGUGGUAGCCAUGCUUAUUGGGUCUAAAGCGUCCGUAGCCGGCUGAGUAAGUUCCUUGGGAAAUUUGACCGCUUAACGGUUAAGCUAUCAGGGAAUACUGCUUGGCUUGGGACCGGGAGAGGUCAGAGGUACUCCAGGGGUAGGGGUGAAAUCUAUUAAUCCUUGGGGGACCACCGGUAGCGAAGGCGUCUGACCAGACCGGGUCCGACGGUGAGGGACGAAGGCUGGGGUCGCGAACCGGAUUAGAUACCCGGGUAGUCCCAGCUGUAAACGAUGCGGGCCAGGUGUUGGCAUUACUGCGAGUGAUGUCAGUGCCAAAGGGAAGCCGUUAAGCCCGCCAUCUGGGGAGUACGGUGCGCAAGGCUGAAACUUAAAGAAAUUGGCGGGGGAGCACCACAACGGGUGGAGC